rnacentral:rRNA from 1 species
AUUGAACGCUGGCGGCAUGCCUUACACAUGCAAGUCGAACGGUAACAGGUUAAGCUGACGAGUGGCGAACGGGUGAGUAAUGUAUCGGAACGUGCCCAGUCGUGGGGGAUAACUACUCGAAAGAGUGGCUAAUACCGCAUACGACCUGAGGGUGAAAGCGGGGGACCGUAAGGCCUCGCGCGAUUGGAGCGGCCGAUAUCAGAUUAGCUAGUUGGUGGGGUAAAAGCCCACCAAGGCGACGACCUGUAGCUGGUCUGAGAGGACGACCAGCCACACUGGGACUGAGACACGGCCCAGACUCCUACGGGAGGCAGCAGUGGGGAAUUUUGGACAAUGGGCGCAAGCCUGAUCCAGCCAUGCCGCGUGCAGGAUGAAGGCCUUCGGGUUGUAAACUGCUUUUGUACGAAACGAAAAGACUCUGGUUAAUACCUGGGGUCCAUGACGGUACCGUAAGAAUAAGCACCGGCUAACUACGUGCCAGCAGCCGCCGUAACAC